GGGGGCUUAGUGUAACGGCAUCAUUGGCGCUUCGGGAGCGUCAGAUAGCGGUUCAAUUCCGCUAGCCCUCA
rnacentral:tRNA from 1 species